GCCUCCAUAGCUCAGCUGGUCAGAGCACGUGAUUUGUAAUCUCGGGGUCGUGGGUUCGAAUCCCUCUGGAGGCU
rnacentral:tRNA from 1 species